CUUGAUUGCAGCUUCAUGAAAGAACUUGAGCCAAAACUAUCCAACUCAGCUGCUCUCACAUUCCUGGCCCACCAAAAUCUGUGAGGUCAUAAAUAUAUGUUGUUGCUCUAAACCAUUGGGAUUGAAGUAAUUUGUUACUCAGCAACAGAUAACUAAUAUAGAGAAUCAGAUGGUAACAAAAGUUUCAAAACACAAACUUUUUGGGACUUUUUUUCUUAUCAGAAAACCCAACUGCUAAAUGAAAUGAAAAAGUACCAUUUGGGAAAAAAACAUCCCACCACAGCCAACUGGGCAGGAAUUGAUUUUAUGGGAAUUAAUGGAUAAUUUUUUUUUAAGUCUCUCAUAAGAUGCUGACAGAAGACCCAAGACUCCUGGAUUAUUUAUUUGGUAGACCACAGAAGCCAGACAUCCUGGGUUUAAAUCAUGGAUCUGAAAUCAUGAGCAAGACUGGAGACCUAACCCCUGAGCCUCAGCUUUCCCGUCUCUACAAUGGGGAUAUGAUAUCUUCCAUAUAGGGUGGCUUGCAGGAUUAAAAGACCUAACAUAAGUCGGGCUGAGCUUUUCAGGAAACAGCUUUUGUGAAGCCCACUUCUCAUUGGAUUCAUGCCUUCUUACUGCAUGAGCAGCUGUUUGCGUUUUCUGUUCUUUGUCUCUCUGAUAACUUGAGCAUCAUCAGGCAUCUGUCUGCCAAGCUUCCCAAACUGUGUGCUCCCGCAGCAUGGGGUGCAGCAGCAAACUCACUAACAGCCCUCCAGGAUAUUUUAAAUUUUAAAGGGAAAUAGUGAUACUUGGCAUCUGUCAGACAGGGAGUGAACUACCGGCUCCAAGGAAUUCACAGUUUCAACAUUAGAUUGUGAUUCAUUUCUUUCAUUGAUGUCAUAUCUUGGCAAGGCUGUGUUUUCCAUGGUUGCUGUGAUGAAAAGCAAGUGCUGCAUGAAAAUCAAUGUGCAACAGGAUGAGGAUGGCAGUAUCCAGUCUGAUUCCAAGGUUUGAAAAAUUGCACAGUGACCAAG
rnacentral:lncRNA from 1 species